UAAAUGUACUCAAUUAAAGACAAGCCCUCUAGCUCCACCCCCAACACCCCUCUCAUUUACACACUUGCCAGCACUGAGAAAACUGAUGACCUAGCAUCUUUACUUCAAAAUGAAUUGCAUGCACCCUACCACAGUAAUCAAUACCAUAUUACAAAAACAUUCUUUAAGGCUUUUUAUUUAUAUGUAACGUUCGUGUAUAUGUACGCAACACAUGAGAGGAUGUCCGGUGAGGCAGGAAGAGGGUUUGAGACCCUCUGAUGCUGGAACUACAGGGGGUUGUGAGCCUCCCUUGGGUGCUGAGAACUGAACUUGUUCCUUCUGGAAGAGCAGCGAGCACCUUUAACCGUGGAGCCAUCUCCCCAGUCCCUGCAAAACAGUCUUAGUCACCUAAUGUGGCUGGAGUCCAACUACCAGCUCUUUGUGGUGGAUCCAAUUGUGGUUUUUAAUCUUUUUUCCUCAGGAAUUCAUCUUUGUGGGUCUCCUUUCUCGAGAGUCUCCUGUGCCCUGAGGUGGGACACUGUUCCCAAAGAGAAUCUGCUUUUCCUCAGGCCCCAGGGUUCAAGAGUCAUAUAAGUUCACUGCUCUGUUUGGGACCAGUAUCCCCCAGACCCUGAAUGCACAGGUCUCAUGUUAUGUCUCAGAGAGGUUUUCUUUUGUCACAUGAAUAUAUUUAUGCCCCAGACUUUUAUGCCAAUUACAUCAUAGGCCUUUUCAUCAGCAUCUGUAAAACCUGUAGUUUCAUGUGAAUUUCUUUUUCCAGGAAAUAGUACAGGUUGAUCUGUAUGGAUGUAUAGGAAGUUUACUGAACAUAGGUAAAUAGGGGUUGAAAUCUGCCUGACAAACAGCUCACUUGUACAUCCCUCAGCUAUAUCCAUUAGAGGGAGGUUUGUUUUGUUUUCUAAUUAUGUGAUAAUGCCAUGUGGGCUUUAAGGAGUCCUAUAGACAGCACCAACAUCUCUCUGGGACCACUUGUAUUUCCUUCACGAAGAGCUACAUCAUCCUGAAGGCUCACUUAGUCUCUGCAUCUCCUUAUGUUCUCUCCCUUAUGGUCACUGUAAGUUUCUGAGUCUGGCUCAAAUGUAGAAUUCUGAGUUUAUUUGAAAUCCCAUUGAAGAACUCAUUUUAGUGUAGCUGUGCUCUGACUAUCCAUAGCAGAAUUACUAUCAUUCAUAUUUGUAGCCAAAUAACCAUGCCACACUACUGCCUUUACUAUUGGGAUAGAACUAUCUGUUGCCCCCUGAACACACUCUUAAGUUUGUUAGAGAUAGGCACUUUUAGGCAUUGGGCUAUUUGGCUGAUAGUUUAAGAGAUUCAUAGGCUGGGUUCCUUUGUACACACGCAGAAAUGUUUGCCUUUCACAUACAGAUUCUUACAGAGUUCAAGUAGAGGAACCUCAGUGUUGAGGUUCUCAAGGCAGUGGUAGCCUCCUGGAUGCUUACUGUGGGAUCAUCCUGCAUUGGAAGGACACCAGCCAUCUCUCUGAGUUCCCUGUCCCGUUCCAAAUCCACUGGGAACUUGGCCCAUAGGGUCACUAAAAAGUGCACCACCCCUGUCUGGCACAUUCCCCAGUCAAAGUGGAAGUGCAGAUACACUGUCUUUGAUUGUCAGACCAAGCAAGAAAAGCCUCACAGACCUGCUGCGUGACCUUGAGAGUAAAACUGGAUAGUACUUUGCCUUGUCAGUCAGUGCCACCACUGAGCUAAGUUUUGGGAGCCAAUUGCUCAAGAUCAAAAGGAAACAGUCCAACCAAAGUAAAUCUCUCAAAAUAAAACUGUGGGAUGCAUCUCUUAGGGAAUUGUUAAGUUUCCUAUUGCUAUAGUUUGGAUAUGGCUUGGUCCCUCUGGUGAUUGACCUUUACUGUUACCUUGACUAGAUUUAGAAGAAACAUACUCUGUGUAUCUGAGGGUGUUUUCCUCAGAGACAUGUAAUGGAGGAGGAAAGACCCACCCUCAAUAUGGACAGACUCUUCCCAUGGGUCACAAAUGAAAUAAAAAUGAGAAAUCCAGCUGAGCACCCAGUGGGACCAGAGGCUUCAUAUUGCUACUGUUGUACCUUCCCUGACUGUGAUAGACCAUGUACCCUAAAACGGAGAGCCAAAAUAGCCCUGAAAUUGCUUCUCAUCUGAUACAGCAAUGAGAAGUGGAAAAAAAAAAAUACUGUCCCCAAUACAGUGACAUUGAAAACUGAUAGGACUGACUAGCUGAUGGCACGCGCCUCUAAUCCCAGCACUUGAAAGGCAGAGCCAGGCAGAUCUCUUGAGUUCAAGGCCAGCCUGGUCUCCAGAGUGAAUUCCAGGGCGGAUAGGACUACAUGGAGAAAUCCUGUAGGACGAGUGGGAGAAAAUGAAGAAAAUUGAUAGGCUUUUGAUUAGGAAGAGCCUGAUGAGAGGUGAUCUGGUGUUUACUGUCCCUAUGAGAGGUAAUGCUGGUUUCAAGGAGUCUUUCAGGAGUGAAUUAGAUCUUUUGGGGUAGGAAGUGGGUUACUGGGAGCAGGCCUUGUGGCUCUACAGCCUGGUACUUCUCCCUGUUCAUAUUUGGACUGUAGAUACAAUGUGAGCAGUCAACCUCCUACUACCACAAUUCCUUUCAUGCCUGCUGCCAUGUCUUCGCUACCAUGGUCGACUGCAUCCCUCUGGUAAUGGGAGGCAAAUUAAACCUUUCCUUCUUUAAGUUGCUUUUGUUAGAGUAUUUUUCACAGCAAAACACACACACAUACACCACACAAACAUAAUCCCCAUAUC
rnacentral:lncRNA from 1 species